CUGUGGGGUUGUGGGGUGGGGGGUUAUGGGGUUAUGAUGGGGUUAUGGGGCUGGGACUGCUGGCGGCCCUUCUGCUGCUGCUCUGCGCCGCACUCACAGCGCUGCUGCUCAGGAGGAGGCCGAGGUGUGGGGUUAUGGGGUCUGUGGGGUUAUUAUGGGGUCUGUGGGGUUAUGGGGUGGGAGGUUAUGGGGUUGGUAUGGGGUUAUGGGGCUGGGACUGCUGGCGGCCCUUCUGCUGCUGCUCUGCGCCGCACUCACAGCGCUGCUGCUCAGGAGGAGGCCGAGGUGUGGGGUUAUGGGGUCUGUGGGGUUAUGGGGUGGGGGGUUAUGGGGUUGGUAUGGGGUCUAUGGGGUUGGUAUGGGGUUAUGAUGGGGUUGGUAUGGGGUUAUGGGGCUGGGACUGCUGGCGGCCCUUCUGCUGCUGCUCUGCGCCGCACUCACAGCGCUGCUGCUCAGGAGGAGGGCGAGGUGUGGGGUUAUGGGGUCUGUGGGGUUGGUAUGGGGUCUGUGGGGUUGUGGGGUGGGGGGUUAUGGGGUUAUGAUGGGGUUAUGG
ensembl:lncRNA